GCGAAGGUGGCGGAAUUGGUAGACGCGCCUAGCUUCAGGUGUUAGUGUCCUUACGGACGUGGGGGUUCAAGUCCCCCCCCUCGCACCA
rnacentral:tRNA from 1 species